CCUUGGAAUGAAAGGAUUCUAGGAUCAUAGUUUCAGUAGUGAAAGGAACCUUAGAGGCCAUCAGGUCAAAUCAUCUUCUUUUCUUACAGGGAGCUUAGAACAAAGAUAAGAAAA
rnacentral:lncRNA from 1 species